rnacentral:sRNA from 1 species
CGAAAGCCUGACGGAGCAAUACCGCGUGAGGGAGGAAGGCCCUUGGGUUGUAAACCUCUUUUCUCAGGGAAGAAUAAUGACGGUACCUGAGGAAUCAGCAUCGGCUAACUCCGUGCCAGCAGCCGCGGUAAUACGGAGGAUGCAAGCGUUAUCCGGAAUGAUUGGGCGUAAAGCGUCCGCAGGUGGCUCUUCAAGUCUGCUGUCAAAGGUCGGGGCUCAACUUCGAACAGGCAGUGGAAACUGAACAGCUAGAGUGCGGUAGGGGUAGAGGGAAUUCCCGGUGUAGCGGUGAAAUGCGUAGAGAUCGGGAAGAACACCAGUGGCGAAAGCGCUCUACUAGACCUGCACUGACACUGAGGGACGAAAGCUAGGGGAGCGAAUGGGAUUAGAUACCCCAGUAGUCCUAGCCGUAAACGAUGGAUACUAGGUGUUGCUUGUAUCGACCCAAGCAGUGCCGUAGCUAACGCGUUAAGUAUCCCGCCUGGGGAGUACGCACGCAAGUGUGAAACUCAAAGGAAUUGACGGGGGCCCGCACAAGCGGUGGAGUAUGUGGUUUAAUUCGAUGCAACGCGAAGAACCUUACCAGGACUUGACAUGUCGCGAAUCCUGAUGAAAGUCAGGAGUGCCUUCGGGAGCGCGAACACAGGUGGUGCAUGGCUGUCGUCAGCUCGUGUCGUGAGAUGUUGGGUUAAGUCCCGCAACGAGCGCAACCCUCGUGCUUAGUUGCCAGCAUUCAGUUGGGCACUCUAAGCAGACUGCCGGUGACAAACCGGAGGAAGGUGGGGAUGACGUCAAGUCAGCAUGCCCCUUACGUUCUGGGCUACACACGUACUACAAUGCUGCGGACAAAGGGCAGCUACCCAGCGAUGUCAAGCUAAUCCCAUAAACCGUGGCUCAGUUCAGAUCGCAGGCUGCAACUCGCCUGCGUGAAGGCGGAAUCGCUAGUAAUCCCAGAUCAGCACGCUGGGGUGAAUACGUUCCCGGGCCUUGUACACACCGCCCGUCACACCAUGGAAGCUGGCAGUGCCCGAAGUCGUUACCCUAACCCUUGUGGAGGGGGACGCCGAAGGCAAGGCUGGUGACUGGGGUGAAGUCGUAACAAGGUAGCCGUACCGGAAGGUGUGGCUGGAUCACCUCCUUUUUAGGGAGACCUAACCCAUCGAAUACCGAAACGCAACAGGAAUGAGGUAAAGAUGAGGUCAUCCCAGGUCGGACGAUAGCAACAAUAGCAGGAAACAGGCUUUCAAACUAUAAAGCGGUUCGGUAAACAACAGCGUGCCAACAGUAGGGGCUAUUAGCUCAGGUGGUUAGAGCGCACCCCUGAUAAGGGUGAGGUCCCUGGUUCGAGUCCAGGAUGGCCCACCUAAAGAAAAUGCAAAAGUUAAAAUUGCCUUUGAGUUUUCCCAGUUAAUGUGAUACACUAGGAAAGUUGGCAAGUUCGGCUUCAGCACCGUGGCGAGUGAGAUAACUCAUGCGACUGCUGGAGGAGAGUCCAGCCAGAACCUUGAAAACUGCAUAGCAACAAACAAAUACAUAGUUCAUAACUCAUAAUACCUAAAAAUGAGUCGUGAAAUAUGCAGGUAAAACACCAAUGAAUUGUAAGUGGUCAAGCGAAUAAGAGCUGAUGGUGGAUACCUAGGCACGCAGCGGCGAAGAAGGACGUGGCGACCAACGAAAAGCUCCGGGGAGCUGGCAGCAAGCAUCGAGCCGGAGAUGUCCGAAUGGGGCAACCCCAAUGUACUGCCUGUUGAAUCCAUAGACAGGUAAGAGCCAACCUGGCGAACUGAAACAUCUUAGUAGCCAGAGGAAAAGAAAUCAAACGAGAUUCCCCAAGUAGUGGUGAGCGAACGGGGACCAGCCUAAACCAAUGGAUUUAUCCAUUGGGGUAGUGGGACAGCGAGAUGGAAUCAGAGAGUUAGACGAAGCAGGUGGCAAACUGCACCAGAGAAGGUAAUAGUCCUGUAGUCAAAAACUUAAAGAUACUAGCUGGAUCCCGAGUAGCACGGGACACGAGGAAUCCCGUGUGAAUCAGCCGAGACCACUCGGUAAGGCUAAAUACGACUGCGUGACCGAUAGUGAACCAGUACCGCGAGGGAAAGGUGAAAAGAACCCCGCAAGGGGAGUGAAAUAGAACAUGAAACCAUCAGCUUACAAGCAGUGGGAGGACGAUUCAACGUCUGACCGCGUGCCUGUUGAAGAAUGAGCCGGCGAGUUAAUUGCACUGGUAGGUGAAGGCAAUCAGAGCCAUAGCCACAGCGAAAGCGAGUCCCAAGAGGGCGCUCUUGAAUCAGUGUAAUUAGACCCGAACCCGGGUGAUCUAACCAUGUCCAGGAUGAAGCUUGGGUAACACCAAGUGGAGGUCCGCACCGACCGAUGUUGAAAAAUCGGCGGAUGAGGUGUGGUUAGGGGUGAAAUGCCAAUCGAACCCGGAGCUAGCUGGUUCUCCCCGAAAUGUGUUGAGGCGCAGCGGUUGUGAUUAUAGUCUGGGGGUAAAGCACUGUUUCGGUGCGGGCUGCGGUAAGCGGUACCAAAUCGAGACAAACUCUGAAUACCAGGCGCACACACAACUAGUGAGACGGUGGGGGAUAAGCUUCAUCGUCAAGAGGGAAACAGCCCAGACCACCAGCUAAGGUCCCAAAAUGGACGCUAAGUGGCAAAGGAGGUGGGAGUGCAAAGACAACCAGGAGGUUUGCCUAGAAGCAGCCAUCCUUGAAAGAGUGCGUAAUAGCUCACUGGUCAAGCGCUCCUGCGCCGAAAAUGAAUGGGACUAAGCGUCAUACCGAAGCUGUGGGAUAUGCAAAUAUCGGUAGGGGAGCGUUCUGUAGUAGGAAGAAGCACUAGCGGCAAGCAGGUGUGGACGAAGCAGAAGUGAGAAUGUCGGCUUGAGUAGCGCAAACAUUGGUGAGAAUCCAAUGCCCCGAAACCCCAAGGGUUCCUCCGGCAGGCUCGUCCGCGGAGGGUUAGUCAGGACCUAAGGCGAGGCCAAACGGCGUAGUCGAUGGACAACGGGUCAACAAUCCCGUACUGAUUUUGGUUUGUGCAGAGGGACGGAGAAGGUAUGUGCCAGCCGGAUGUUGGUUACCGGUGCAACUAACCAAGGUGAUGAGCAGUGGUGAAAACGCUGCGAGCCGAGGUAGGAGUCCGAGCGACUACGGUCGCGAAGUGGUGGCAAUCAGGCUUCCAAGAAAAGCUCUAAACACGUUAAGCCAAAAUUACCUGUACCCGAAACCGACACAGGUGGGGAGGUUGAGAAUACCAAGGGGCGCGAGAUAACUCUCUCUAAGGAACUCGGCAACAUGGCCCCGUAACUUCGGAAGAAGGGGUGCCCACGAGAGUGGGUCGCAGUGAAGAGAUCCAGGCGACUGUCUACCAAAAACACAGGUCUCCGCUAAGUCGAGUGACGACGUAUGGGGGCUGACGCCUGCCCAGUGCCGGAAGGUUAAAGAAGUCGGUCAGGGUCUUCGGACCUAAAGCUGGCGACUGAAGCCCCGGUGAACGGCGGCCGUAACUAUAACGGUCCUAAGGUAGCGAAAUUCCUUGUCGGGUAAGUUCCGACCCGCACGAAAGGCGUAACGAUCUGGAUGGUGUCUCAGAGAGAGACUCGGCGAAAUAGGAAUGUCUGUGAAGAUACGGACUACCUGCACCAGGACAGAAAGACCCUAUGAAGCUUUACUGUAGCCUGGAAUGGAGUUCGGGCUUUGCUUGCGCAGGAUAGGUGGGAGGCGUUGAAGCUACCCUUGUGGGGGUAGUGGAGCCGACGGUGAGAUACCACUCUGGCGAAGCUAGAAUUCUAACCGCUUGCCGUUAGCCGGCAGUGGAACAGUUUCAGGUGGGCAGUUUGACUGGGGCGGUCGCCUCCUAAAGUGUAACGGAGGCGCGCAAAGGUUCCCUCAGGCUGGUUGGAAAUCAGCCGCAGAGUGUAAAAGCACAAGGGAGCUUGACUGCUAGACCUACAAGUCGAGCAGGUAGGAAACUAGGCUUUAGUGAUCCGACGGUUCCGAGUGGAAGGGCCGUCGCUCAACGGAUAAAAGUUACUCUAGGGAUAACAGGCUGAUCUCCGCCAAGAGUUCACAUCGACGC